GUGGGGAAUCUUCCGCAAUGGGCGCAAGCCUGAUCCAGCAAUGCCGCGUGCAGGAAGAAGGCCUUCGGGUUGUAAACUGCUUUUGUACGGAACGAAAAGGCUCUGGCUAAUACCUGGAGCUCAUGACGGUACCGUAAGAAUAAGCACCGGCUAACUACGUGCCAGCAGCCGCGGUAAUACGUAGGGUGCGAGCGUUAAUCGGAAUUACUGGGCGUAAAGCGUGCGCAGGCGGUGCUGUAAGACAGGCGUGAAAUCCCCGGGCUCAACCUGGGAAUUGCGCUUGUGACUGCAGCGCUGGAGUGCGGCAGAGGGGGAUGGAAUUCCGCGUGUAGCAGUGAAAUGCGUAGAUAUGCGGAGGAACACCGAUGGCGAAGGCAAUCCCCUGGGCCUGCACUGACGCUCAUGCACGAAAGCGUGGGGAGCAAACAGGAUUAGAAACCCCGGUAGUCC
rnacentral:rRNA from 1 species